rnacentral:misc_RNA from 1 species
AUCACAGAAAAAAACGGAAACUUGUAACGACGUCAACCUCAGUGGCUUCUAGGAAAGUUCAAAGACAGAAGAUGGAGGAUCCAAAAGAACUUGGUCGGAAGCUGGACGUGGUCAAAACAAUGGGAAGUAGGGAGGCAAAAGAACAUAUGUCAAUUGAAGUCAUUGUUGAUGCACUUCAAGCUAUACCAGAUAUGGACGACGAACUCUUCUUGGAAGCCUGUCAACUUCUAGAAAAUGAGAAAAAGGCUAAGGUGUUUGUGGGAAUGGAUGUAAAUCAGCGGAGGAAAUGGUUAUUUAGAAAGCUCCAUAGAUAACAUCUACCUGACUUCGUUAUUGUGAUAUAUUAUCAUUGUACAGUUCAAAAUUUUUUGAUAUAAACUACAUUGCAUUGACUUUUGGCCUAUUUUACACACAAAAU